UACGUAGGGUGCAAGCGUUAAUCGGAAUUACUGGGCGUAAAGCGUGAGCAGGCGGUUCUGUAAGUCUGUCGUGAAAUCCCCGGGCUUAACCUGGGAAUUGCGAUGGAGACUGCAAGGCUAGAAUCUGGCAGAGGGGGGUAGAAUUCCACGUGUAGCAGUGAAAUGCGUAGAGAUGUGGAGGAACACCGAUGGCGAAGGCAGCCCCCUGGGUCAAGAUUGACGCUCAUGCACGAAAGCGUGGGGAGCAAACAGG
rnacentral:rRNA from 1 species